CGAGCGCAACCCUCGUCCUUACGUUGCCAUCAUUAAGUUGGGCACUUUAGGAAACUGCCGUGAUAAGCCGGAGGAAGGUGGGGAUGACGUCAAGUCCUCAUGGCCCUUACAGGCUGGGCUACACACGUGCUACAAUGGCAUCUACAGUGGGCAGCUAUUCCGCAAGGAUGCGCUAAUCUCCAAAAGAUGUCUCAGUUCGGAUUGUCCUCUGCAACUCGAGGGCAUGAAGGCGGAAUCGCUAGUAAUCGCGGAUCAGCAAUGCCGCGGUGAAUACGUUCCCAGGCCUU
rnacentral:rRNA from 1 species